rnacentral:lncRNA from 1 species
AGCGGCAAGGGAUUGGUGUUGUUGUCUUACUCCAGGAUCCGUCACCUGUUGGGAAGAUCUUGAGCAUCAGUUUCUUAACAAAUUCUCCCCUGUGCGGUAUGGUCAUAGCAACGAUCCUGGGUGGACUGACCCUAGCUUAGGAUGUAUGAUGCUCCACAACAAUAUCAACCAUUUUCGAAUUCUUGUAUGUCUUCUCCACCUGUCCACGAACCACAACAGCUGCAGUUUCAUGGGCCUGCCC